UACGUAGGUGGCGAGCGUUGUCCGGAAUUAUUGGGCGUAAAGGGCGCGUAGGCGGUUGUUUAAGUCAGGUGUGAAAGCCCCCGGCUCAACUGGGGAGAGCCACCUGAUACUGGGCGACUAGAGUGCAGGAGAGGAAAGUGGAAUUCCAUGUGUAGCGGUGAAAUGCGUAGAUAUAUGGAGGAACACCAGUGGCGAAGGCGGCUUUCUGGACUGCAACUGACGCUGAGGCGCGAAAGCUGGGGGAGCGAACGGG
rnacentral:rRNA from 1 species